ACUUCUUUAGAGGUAGAGGUAUGGACUACGUACAUCUUACCCUCCCCAGACCUCACUAUGUGGGAAUACACUGGGUUUGUUGUUGUUGUUAUCUUCUGAAACUACAGACAUAUUUUUUAAAAUGGACCUUUGCAGUUUCCUUGUAUCUUCUGAAAAUUUCCCAGUAUAUGAAAUGCACUAUUUGGUUUUCUCAGGUUCGAAAUUCUGCUCAAAAGGAGAACCAUAGUGUUACUACGUUGUACUUCACUCUGCCAAGUCUCAGGCUUUGGUGAUGUCAACCCCGUGAUGAUGCUGUUCAGGCAGAACAUGAGUAGUAUUGCUCUGAGCAGUUCCCAUAUUUUUCGAAGUUGCUUAUGAGCAGUGAUACCAUCCAUAAAGCUGACAAUGGAUACUUCUGAGCAUUGACACGGCAUCUAAAAAACAAAGCACACAAAUGACUACUUCGAUGACCAAGAGCAACUUAAACAAAGACCUGAUAUUCACUAAAUUAACAACUUUUCUCAUAUCAGAAAUUCAGAAUAGAUAAGAUUGUGUUUUGUUAAAGUUCAAGUCAAUGCAGCCUUCACAUUGUAUUGUAUGACCCAGCCAACUUUUGAAUAUUUGGUACACCUUUCACCCCAAAAAAAUAAAAAUCUCCUUUUUGAGUA